rnacentral:rRNA from 1 species
GCAUAUCAAUAAGCGGAGGAAAAGAAACCAACAGGGAUUGCCCCAGUAACGGCGAAGUGAAGCGGCAAAAGCUCCAAAUUUGAAAUCUGGCUCCUUAGGGGUCCGAGUUGUAAUUUGUAGAGGAUGCUUCGGGUGUGGCCACGGCCUAAGUUCCUUGGAACAGGACGUCAUAGAGGGUGAGAAUCCCGUCUUGGGUUGUUGGUCCACGCCCGUGUGAAGCUCCUUCGACGAGUCGAGUUGUUUGGGAAUGCAGCUCUAAGCGGGUGGUAAAUUUCAUCUAAAGCUAAAUAUUGGCCGGAGACCGAUAGCGCACAAGUAGAGUGAUCGAAAGGUUAAAAGCACCUUGAAAAGGGAGUUAAACAGCACGUGAAAUUGUUGAAAGGGAAGCGUUUGCGGCCAGACUCGGGCGUGAGGUUCAGCGGGUGCGUGUCACCCGUGCACUCCUCGCCGCCCGGGCCAGCAUCAGUUCUAACGGCCGGUCAAAGGCCCUCGGAAUGUGUCGUCUCUAGGGACGUCUUAUAGCCGGGGGUGCAAUGCGGCCCGUCGGGACUGAGGAACGCGCUUCGGCUCGGAUGCUGGCAUAAUGGCCGUAAACGGCCCGUCUUGAAACACGGACCAAGGAGUCUAACAUCCACGCGAGUGUUCGGGUGUCAAACCCGUGCGCGCAGUGAAAGCGAACGGAGGUGGGAGCCUUAGGGCGCACCAUCGACCGAUCCUGAAGUCUUCGGAUGGAUUUGAGUAGGAGCGUGGCCGUUGGGACCCGAAAGAUGGUGAACUAUGCCUGAAUAGGGUGAAGCCAGAGGAAACUCUGGUGGAGGCUCGCAGCGGUUCUGACGUGCAAAUCGAUCGUCAAAUUUGGGCAUAGGGGCGAAAGACUAAUCGAACCAUCUAGUAGCUGGUUCUGCGA